UAAACGGCUCUUUUCAGAGCCACCCAUAGGUCUCAGUCAAAAGAGCU
rfam:Chlorocebus sabaeus isolate 1994-021 chromosome 17, whole genome shotgun sequence.